AAAGCAGGAUGAGCAAGCCAUGGGAAACACGCCAGUGAGUAGCUUUUCUCCAUGUCUUCAGUUCCUGUCUCCAGAUCCCUCCCUGCCUUGAGUUCCUGCCCUGACUUCCCUGGAUGAUGGACUACAACCGGUUUUGCUGUGUUCCUGGCAGCCCUUGAACGUGUGUUAAAGUGGUCAAUAAUUGCCCGAACGGCUAGCAGAAAAGCAUACAGAAGUGAAACGACUGCCUCCCGAAGACAAGGUCUGCCCUCCACCCUUGUGAGCUCCCACUCCAAGAAGAAGCAGAAGCCGGAAGGAGGAAGGAGGAGGAGGAGGAGCAGGAGGAAGAAGAAGAAGGGAGAAGAACAACAAGAAUAAGAAGAAAGAAAAAAAUUACCAGUCCAAUUUGUGUUGUUCAUAUAUUCACUGGAACAUGGCCAAACUUCCAGUAGCCAGCCCCUUAAAGAAAACUGAGUCCUUCUCCACCUGCACCCCUGUAGAAGCCCCCAACUGUGGAGAGCUACACUUCAGCAUCCUUAUCACAAUUUUAAGAGUUCUCUUUGACGGUUUGCUGUCUAGACUGUUACUCUUUUAGGGGGUGGAGGAAUGGGUACAGAGGUUGUCACUAAGGCCUUCUACGUCCCUCUUCCUCAACUGUGACUGCACAGUUAUUGAUACCACUGCAAAAGUAGCUUCCUUGCCUUUACAGUCAUAAGGAAUACCGAUCAUGGACUUCCACAAGAUCUCUGGUGUCAGCCAGUGCCAUGAACCUCAACAGGGCCCUCUGUUGCAGAACAGGCCAUGGACAUCAACCUAAUGGCUGCACAGGCCAAGGACAUCAGCAUGGCCUCUGGGGCAACACUGGCCAUGCACACCAACAUGGUCCCCGAUGGCAGCCUGGCUCACAGACACCAACAUGAAUUCAGGUGGCAGCUCAGGCCACUCACAUCAACAUGGCCCACAGCAGCAGCAUGGACCACAGACACCAUCAUGCUCCUUGGCAGCAUCACAGGUCAUGGACAUCAUCAUGGCUUCUGACAGCAGCACAGACCACCAUGGACAUCUGUCUGACCUUUAGUGGUAACAGGGGCCACAGACAUCAACAUGACCUCCAGCUGCAGCAAGAUCAUGGACCCCAACAUAGCUUCAGGUGGCAGCACAGACCACAGAUAUCCCCAUGACCUUCAGUGGUAACAUGGGCCAUUUAUUUUUGUUUGUGUAUGUGUGAGUGUGCAAACACACUACAUAUGCACACAUGUACAGGUGCUCAUGGAGGCCUGAAGAGGGCAUUGGAUCCCCUGGGACCAGAGAAGUUACAGGCAGUCAUAAUUUACAUGUUGUGGGUACUAUGAACUGAACUCUGGUUCUCGGAAAGAACAGUGAGUGCCCAGUGAUCAGAAAAUUAAUCUCAAGGCUACUUUGCAGGAGGCUCUGCCCCUGUCCCCAUUCUCCUGUGUGUGUAUCUGAACCUUGCUUUGUUCACUGGUUUCCACGACUCCAACCACUACUCUUCUUACAUUCCACCUUCUCUCCCAUCUUUGGGUCACUGGAGACCUGUGACCCAUGAUCUGGUUUAUGAAAUGGAGGCAUCUCACAGCUGCCAUUGCUGGCAAUACAUAUCUAGAAUUUAAAUUUAAAAGCAAAAGCAAACACGCCAAAGACAAGGAAACAGAAGCAAUCCAAGCUAUUCACUUGUCAUGGUGUUACCAUUACCAAACCAGACCCACUUUACUCACUGCUCAGCAUGCCAGCUGCUGGAACAAGCUAUUCACUUGUCAUGGUGUUACCAUUACCAAACCAGACCCACUUUACUCACUGCUCAGCAUGCCAGCUGCUGGAACAAGUUCUGUGAAAGAGUCCAUUGAUGAAGUGGCCAAGGUGUGGGCACAGAAGAGGAAGCAUUCAGCAUGCCUCCCCUAGGAAAGGAGUCCGAGCUGUCCAUGCAUUGAAGCUGGGUGAGGGAGGCUUGGGGAAAGGAGUAGAUAGGAAGCAAUUAGCAGUCAGUCUUCCGGGCCCCCAGAGGUCAUGGGAUCAGACAAUGGUGGUACUUCUCACACCAAAGAAGUUGCCCUUUGGAUUUCUGUCCAGGUCCCAGUGAACAGUCAGUGACUUCAAGAGAUGCAAAUCUUCAAGUCUCUGAAAAGCAACAUACAUGAUAUUUACUGAGACACAUGUGUCAAGGGUGUCAACUGCAGCAAAGCCAGUGCUAGUCCAAUAAAUUUAAGAUUAAAAAAAGAGCCAAGUGUGAGGAAGUGCCACAAAGCAAAGUCUAGGAGGCUCUUUCAGGUUUUCGUGUAGUUUAGUUAGGCCCUGAUUGGGGAAGGCGAGGACUCAAAGGCUUCUGACCUCAAGACCAUAUGUAUACAAAGCCCACACAGAAGUAGUUCUCAGCCAGGAAUGGGUACAUAACACAUUCCACUAUUUGAGUUUCCUGACUCAAAGUAAUGGUGAGAGACAGACGUUUUUUGCUGACUCAUAACACACACACACCCCAUCCCUCUUGACCCAUGUUGGAUAUCCAUAUCAUCACUGAUGGGAGAUGUCAUUCUGAAAUCUGUUCUUAUUGGUUGUUGAAUAAAGCACUGCUGGCCAAUAGGGAAGCAAGAUAGGUGGGACUAGGAGUUGAGGAGGACUCUGGGAAAGAGAAAGCUGUCUGUUGCCUGCUAUUCUGGGCCAUCUUACCUGCUAAGUCAUUCUCGAAUCAUUGCUGCUUGCUCACUUUUCAGCAUGUUCCCGGAGCCUGCUCUGCCCUACAUGAAACUGGCUUUCCAUUUAAGGUCUUUCCCUUGUCAUCAAUGUGAACAUCAUAGCAGAAAGAGGAAUACACUAUGCCUGGCUGUUGGAGACAGACUGGAGGAAGAGCGGGUACCCACUGUCGGGUCAAUGACUGCUUCCGAUAAACACAAAGGAUGGAGAGUCCUGGUUCCAUCACAGCUCAGAAAGCCAACUAAAGAAGGAUUCUAUUUAGUCACUCUCAGCAGAAAUGACAGAACUCAGGGCAUAGAUCCCACCUAUGAUGUAGUAGACAUUGGGUAUUACAGAUAAAAUACAAGGGCUAGCCCAACAGUCA